rnacentral:rRNA from 1 species
UACAGAGGGGGCAAGCGUUAUUCGGAAUUAUUGGGCGUAAAGGGCGCGUAGGCGGCUUUGCAAGUGACGGGUGAAAGCCCUCGGCUUAACCGAGGAACUGCCUGUCAGACUGUAAGGCUUGAGACCGGGAGAGGUGAGUGGAAUUCCCAGUGUAGCGGUGAAAUGCGUAGAUAUUGGGAGGAACACCAGUGGCGAAGGCGGCGAUCUGGGCUGAUACUGACGCUGAGGUGCGAAAGCGUGGGGAGCAAACAGG